UAGGGAAUAUUGGACAAUGGGUGAGAGCCUGAUCCAGCCAUGCCGCGUGCAGGAAGAAGGCGUUAUGCGUUGUAAACUGCUUUUUGCCAGGGGAUAAAAAGACCGUGCGCGGUUAAUUGAAGGUACCUGGUGAAUAAGCCACGGCUAACUACGUGCCAGCAGCCGCGGUAAUACGUAGGUGGCAAGCGUUGUCCGGAUUUAUUGGGUUUAAAGGGUGCGUAGGUGGCCCUGUAAGUCAGUGGUGAAAUAUCUCAGCUUAACUGAGAGGGUGCCAUUGAUACUGCAGGGCUUGAGUACAGAUGAGGUAGGCGGAAUUGACGGUGUAGCGGUGAAAUGCAUAGAUAUCGUCAAGAACACCGAUAGCGAAGGCAGCUUACCAAGCUGUAACUGACACUGAGGCACGAAAGUGUGGGGAUCAAACAGGAUUAGAUACCCUAGUAGUCCCUGAGCGGG
rnacentral:rRNA from 1 species